rnacentral:rRNA from 1 species
GAUGAACGCUGGCGGCGUGCCUAAUACAUGCAAGUCGAGCGAACAGACGAGGAGCUUGCUCCUCUGACGUUAGCGGCGGACGGGUGAGUAACACGUGGAUAACCUACCUAUAAGACUGGGAUAACUUCGGGAAACCGGAGCUAAUACCGGAUAAUAUAUUGAACCGCAUGGUUCAAUAGUGAAAGACGGUUUUGCUGUCACUUAUAGAUGGAUCCGCGCCGCAUUAGCUAGUUGGUAAGGUAACGGCUUACCAAGGCAACGAUGCGUAGCCGACCUGAGAGGGUGAUCGGCCACACUGGAACUGAGACACGGUCCAGACUCCUACGGGAGGCAGCAGUAGGGAAUCUGCCGCAAUGGGCGAAAGCCUGACGGAGCAACGCCGCGUGAGUGAUGAAGGUCUUCGGAUCGUAAAACUCUGUUAUUAGGGAAGAACAAAUGUGUAAGUAACUAUGCACGUCUUGACGGUACCUAAUCAGAAGGCCACGGCUAACUACGUG